GAUGAACGCUGGCGGCGUGCCUAAUACAUGCAAGUCGAGCGAACGGACGAGAAGCUUGCUUCUCUGAUGUUAGCGGCGGACGGGUGAGUAACACGUGGAUAACCUACCUAUAAGACUGGGAUAACUUCGGGAAACCGGAGCUAAUACCGGAUAAUAUUCUGAACCGCAUGGUUCAAAAGUGAAAGACGGUCUUGCUGUCACUUAUAGAUGGAUCCGCGCUGCAUUAGCUAGUUGGUAAGGUAACGGCUUACCAAGGCAACGAUGCAUAGCCGACCUGAGAGGGUGAUCGGCCACACGGGAACUGAGACACGGUCCAGACUCCUACGGGAGGCAGCAGUAGGGAAUCUUCCGCAAAGGGCGAAAGCCUGACGGAGCAACGCCGCGUGAGUGAUGAAGGUCUUCGGAUCGUAAAACUCUGUUAUUAGGGAAGAACAUAUGUGUAAGUAACUGUGCACAUCUUGACGGUACCUAAUCAGAAAGCCACGGCUAACUACGUG
rnacentral:rRNA from 1 species